AAAAUUUUAAGUUAAAUAAACUAAUAAUUUUCAAAAUUAUCAAUAUUAAUUAUAGAAUAAAUUUUA
rnacentral:tRNA from 1 species